rnacentral:lncRNA from 1 species
CAAUUGGUCUACAAAAACACAAAAACAUUCUCAAGAAUUGAUAUUUCUUUGUCCUCGAAUGAAACAGUUUGCACCGAGUGGGGAAACGAAAUAACUGACCCAAGUAAGCGCCGAAAGCUGUUCAAUCUAUCAACAAAAACGAGUGCAUGUAAAAACUUAUUGAAUCUGGACAGUUGUUUGUCUAACAAUGUGUGCCGUAAUUGUGUCGACAAGAAUAGUAAUUUAUU